rnacentral:rRNA from 1 species
UGCGCAGGCGGGUCAAUAAGUCAGAGGUGAAAUCCUACAGCUCAACUGUAGAACUGCCUUUGAUACUGCUGAUCUUGAGUAUGGAAGAGAGAGACGGAAUUCCAGGUGUAGUGGUGAAAUACGUAGAUAUCUGGAAGAACACCAGUUGCGAAGGCGGUCUCUUGGUCCAAUACUGACGCUGAGGCGCGAAAGCGUGGGUAGCAAACAGGAUUAGAUACCCUGGUAGUCC